GUGUCAGCCGCCGCGGUAAUACAGAGGGUGCGAGCGUUAAUCGGAAUUACUGGGCGUAAAGCGUGCGUAGACGGUUUCGUAAGUCGGAUGUGAAAUCCCCGGGCUCAACCUGGGAAUUGCAUUCGAGACUGCGAGGCUAGGGUGCGGAAGAGGGAAGCGGAAUUUCCGGUGUAGCGGUGAAAUGCGUAGAUAUCGGAAGGAACAUCAGUGGCGAAAGCGGCUUCCUGGUCCAGCACCGACGUUCAGGCACGAAAGCGUGGGGAGCAAACAGGAUUAGAUACCCCGGUAGUCC
rnacentral:rRNA from 1 species